GACGAACGCUGGCGGCGUGCUUAACACAUGCAAGUCGAACGGUAAGGCCCUUCGGGGUACACGAGUGGCGAACGGGUGAGUAACACGUGGGUGAUCUGCCCUGCACUUCGGGAUAAGCCUGGGAAACUGGGUCUAAUACCGGAUAGGACCACUGCCUGCAUGGGUGGUGGGGGAAAGCUUGUGCGGUGUGGGAUGGGCCCGCGGCCUAUCAGCUUGUUGGUGGGGUGAUGGCCUACCAAGGCGACGGCGGGUAGCCGGCCUGAGAGGGUGACCGGCCACACUGGGACUGAGAUACGGCCCAGACUCCUACGGGAGGCAGCAGUGGGGAAUAUUGCACAAUGGGCGCAAGCCUGAUGCAGCGACGCCGCGUGAGGGAUGACGGCCUUCGGGUUGUAAACCUCUUUCAGCACCGACGAAGCGCAAGUGACGGUAGGUGCAGAAGAAGGACCGGCCAACUACGUGCCAGCAGCCGCGGUAA
rnacentral:rRNA from 1 species